rnacentral:rRNA from 1 species
CACGUAGGGCGCAAGCGUUGUCCGGAAUUAUUGGGCGUAAAGAGCUCGUAGGCGGUUUGUCGCGUCGGCUGUGAAAACUCGGGGCUCAACCCCGAGCCUGCAGUCGAUACGGGCAGACUAGAGUGCUGUAGGGGAGACUGGAAUUCCUGGUGUAGCGGUGAAAUGCGCAGAUAUCAGGAGGAACACCGGUGGCGAAGGCGGGUCUCUGGGCAGUAACUGACGCUGAGGAGCGAAAGCAUGGGGAGCGAACAGG